rnacentral:lncRNA from 1 species
GUCGUCCUUAUUUUAUUUUUUUACACAGUCAUGUGUUUGUAAUUAUUUUCUCUUUAAAACCUGCCUUAUCCCCUCCCACCCACAUCUCACGCUGCUCUCAGAUUCCCUCAGAGCUCCUGAGCGCCCCUGCCCCAGUCCUGAAGAGAAGUGACUUCCGGAGUCCGGGUGCAGGCCCGCUUCCUGUAGGUUGGCACGUGAGGCAGGGGGACGUGGGCAGGGGCUCUGCACUCCAGGCACAGAGGGCGGCUCUGGUCUCGACUGGUGACCUCGGUCACGCGCUGCCUCUCGGCUGGUUUUCAUGUUGUCCUGAGCAGGCCGAAGCCAGGCGUUUUGUGCUGGGCCAGCAGUUGUGAAGUUGACAGCAGAGCCAAGUGUAUUGUGUGUCUAUUUUUAGGCCUGUGUCCUUGGACCGCAGAGGAUGGGCUCUGCUCUAUUUCUCUGCCUCCUUCCUGGGCCUUGUGUCAGGGAGGUGGCCCCGGUUUUACUCACUUGGUAACUGGCUGCGGAGUCAUCGCUGGGCUUCUCCAGAGCCGUCCAGAUUCCUCUCCCCUGUGCCCUCCCUUGACCGAGCUGCUAAUGCACUGGCUUCUUGGACCAGGGAGGAAACUGAUCCAGCCUGGGCGCCACUCCAGGACUUUUCCACAUAGCCACAAAGAACAGGCCAAGCUCCUGGCAGGUUCCUGCUGCAGAAGUGCUCUUAAACCACGGUUGGCAGAGAGUAGCUGAAAUCACAGAUGGGGCUGGCUACAGUGGUCGCCAUUCCGGGCG